GUUAUAUGGUCAAGUGAAGAAGCGCAUACGGUGGAUGCCUUGGCAGUCAGAGGCGAUGAAAGACGUGGUAGCCUGCGAAAAGCUUCGGGGAGUCGGCAAACAGACUGUGAUCCGGAGAUGUCUGAAUGGGGGAACCCAGCCAUCAUAAGAUGGUUAUCUUGUACUGAAUACAUAGGUGCAAGAAGCGAACCAGGGGAACUGAAACAUCUAAGUACCCUGAGGAAAAGAAAUCAACCGAGAUUCCCUUAGUAGUGGCGAGCGAACGGGGACUAGCCCUUAAGCUUCUUUGAUUUUAGCGGAACGCUCUGGAA
rnacentral:rRNA from 1 species